AUGGCCCUCCUCGCCGCCCGCCGCGCCGCCGUGCUUGCCCGCCCCACCGCCGCCGCGGCACUUCUCCGCCACGCGCCUGCCGGGGCGCGGUUCUCGUCGUUGGCGGACUGCAGAGCCUUGGUUCGAGGCCUCCGCGACAUCUCCGAAUACCUCCGCGCCGAGAAGGAACACUCUUCCGCCCCCUCCGCCGCCGCGCUCCGCGCCAAGUCCGAUUCCCUCCGCGCCGCCACCCACGACGGAGAGAUCGUCGGCGUCCUCAACUCCGUGAUCCAGUCCCACCACCGCGACCUGAUUAGGGGGAUUCCGAAGGACUUCCCUUUCGAAAUCAGCAAAACGGAUGGGAUUCCCGACAUUACUCUUACAAGAAGUUUGAAGGGCGAGCAGAUUGAGGUCUUGGUUUCCAUGCACCAGGAUGAGGAGUGCAACGUUGGCCUGCAGGAAGACUCAAAUCAGGAAGGCAAAGCCGAGACCUCCCCAGAAGAAUACAGCAUUCCUGUCAGGGUCAUUGUAUCCAAGGCCGACGGCUCAAGCCUAGAAUUCACCUGCACAGCUAACCCUGAUAAUAUCGUCAUCGAGACCUUGUCCAUGAGGCAGAAGAAGUCAACAGGGGCAGAGGAAGCAGACGAUGUGGUUGCGUCGGAGGGCACGGAAAAUGAUCUAGCUGUAUAUGAUGAGGGUCCUCAUUUCCAUGAGCUGGACAAGAGCCUGCAGGAGGCAUUCCAUAAGUAUCUGGAGGUGCGUGGAGUCACACCCAUGACGGCGAAGUUGUUGCGCGGGCACAUGAUGAGCGAGGACAGCCACCUUUCGCCAAAAGAGAAGAGUGACGUCAGGCGCAGGCGUCUCGUCUGGCUGUUGAAGCUGUGGGAUUUCGUCAAGAAAGAUUAA
rnacentral:rRNA from 1 species